UGGGGAAUAUUGCACAAUGGGCGCAAGCCUGAUGCAGCCAUGCCGCGUGUAUGAAGAAGGCCUUCGGGUUGUAAAGUACUUUCAGUCGGGAGGAAGGCGAUAAGGUUAAUAACCUUGUCGAUUGACGUUACCCGCAGAAGAAGCACCGGCUAACUCCGUGCCAGCAGCCGCGGUAAUACGGAGGGUGCAAGCGUUAAUCGGAAUUACUGGGCGUAAAGCGCACGCAGGCGGUUGAUUGAGUCAGAUGUGAAAUCCCCGGGCUUAACCCGGGAAUUGCAUCUGAUACUGGUCAGCUAGAGUCUUGUAGAGGGGGGUAGAAUUCCAUGUGUAGCGGUGAAAUGCGUAGAGAUGUGGAGGAAUACCGGUGGCGAAGGCGGCCCCCUGGACAAAGACUGACGCUCAGGUGCGAAAGCGUGGGGAGCAAACAGG
rnacentral:rRNA from 1 species